rnacentral:rRNA from 1 species
CCUACGGGAGGCAGCAGUGAGGAAUAUUGGUCAAUGGACGUAAGUCUGAACCAGCCAAGUAGCGUGAAGGAAGACUGCCCUAUGGUUUGUAAACUUCUUUUAUAGGGGAAUAAAGUUUUCCACGUGUGGACUUUUGUAUGUACCCUAUGAAUAAGGAUCGGCUAACUCCGUGCCAGCAGCCGCGGUAAUCCGGAGGGUGCGAGCGUUCUCCGGAGUUAUUGGGUUUAAAGGGGGCGUAGGUGGGUUGUUAAGUCAGGGGGGAAAGUGUGAGGAUCAACCGUAAAAUUGCAGUUGAAACUGGGAGGGUGGAGGACAGUAGAGGUGGGCGGAAGGCGUGGGGU